rnacentral:miRNA from 1 species
UUUUGCAUAGUUGCAUUA